GAUUUACUUAAUAGGUUGUAUGUUAACGUUGUAUAGUUAUAUAUUGAUUAUUAAGUGGUAAUGAAAUGUUUAUCGUUUUUCGUGAUAGCUAGUUUAUUGGUGUAAAAUAUUUAAGUAUUGUAAUGUUAGGUGUAGUGUUGUGCUGAUUUGACAUUAGCUUACUAUAUGGGGGAUAAGCUUCAUAUAAUUUAAUAGAAUUUGUUGUGUACUAGUUGUAAUUUAAGUAGAAUUAAUAAUGUUUUUCUUUAAAAGUAGUUUAAAUUUUUGUUGUAAAUUAGUAAAUUCAUGUUUAGGUAGCUGAUAAAUGUUUAUGAAUUGUUUUAUAGAUAUUUAUAAUGUUAAUAUGAGUAUUAGUUAUUAUUAUAUUAUGUUUAAUUAUUAUUAUAGGUGUAUAUGGUUUAUAUUAUUAGUAUAGAGUUAAGUAGGGUAAAGGAAUUCGGCAAAUAUUAAUCUCGCCUGUUUAUCAAAAACAUGUCUCUUUGUUAAUUAUAAAUAGAGAG
rnacentral:rRNA from 1 species